rnacentral:tRNA from 1 species
CGUGGCUCAGUGGUAGAGUACUUGCCUAGCAUGCAUGAGGCCCUGGGUUCCAUCCCCAGUG